CUGAGCUGCCGUGAUUGUUGUUGCAACCAUUCCCUUGAAUUCCUCCUCCUGCUGGCAAUCGCACAGAGGAUCAAACUACAGAACAAAGGGUAGCAGAUGAUGUAUAUCGUGGCAACGCCUAGAAACAACCAGUCAGUAGUCAGCCUUGCUAGUGCUGUACAACCCAGUCUACACAGUAAUUGUAACAGAGAUGUAGCCCAGUUCCAUCUAAGCUAAGCUGGGGUUUGUCUAUACCAGGGGUGGGCAAUUAUUUUGGGUGGAGGGCCGCUUACUGAGUUUUGGCAAGCCAUCGAGGGCCGCAUGACAGGCAGCCAGGGGCAGAUAAUAUUACUUUUCUAAUUUUUUAGGGGUUCUGUAGGCCAGAUGGAAUGGCCUGGCACGCUGCAUCCAGCCCGCGGGCUGCAUUUUGCCUACCCCUGGUCUAUACCAUCUGCAGUCACAGCAGUAUAAGUCCUACCCACAGAUAGUCCCCACUCCAGGGGACACGCAUUAAAAUGAACAGAUACAAUAGGUUGGGAAAAGGAUCCUCAGAUGUCAGAGAAGCCUGGAGCCCCAUUUAAGACUUUAUUGUUCCUCUUCACAGAGAAGCGGUAGCCGUUACUGGGGUAGAAGGCAGCUGCAGGAACGUGGCAGCUGACGGCAGGAAGUGCCAGGCAUGGGUGCACUGGAGCUGCAUGGGGAGUUGUGGAUAGCGGCAUGCAACCACGCCAACGAGCGGCUGGCCAGCGGGUUGAGCCUCAAGCCAAGGGAGGUGGGUCCACACAAGCCGAGUUCACUCCAUGCCUCAUCUGAAGGCUGGUGCGGGUUGAUAGCUUCUGUCGGAUACGACCCAUGUCCGUUGGAUUCACUUCCCACAGCCUAUUCUGAGCCUCAGGCCCAGGGAGGCCAGA